rnacentral:rRNA from 1 species
AUGCCGAAGGCCGCGGGGGAUGCCAAGCUCCUGAUCCAGUCCCUCACCAAGGCCUACGCCACCACGCCCACGAAUCUCAAGAUCAUUGACCUGUACGUGGUUUUCGCGGUCGCCACUGCCCUGGUUCAGGUCGUUUACAUGGGAAUAGUUGGGUCAUUCCCCUUCAACUCUUUCCUGUCUGGUGUCCUGUCAUGCAUUGGAACUGCAGUGCUUGGUGUUUGCCUCCGUAUUCAAGUCAACAAGGACAACAAGGAAUUCAAGGAUCUUCCCCCGGAGAGGGCCUUUGCUGAUUUCGUCCUGUGCAAUCUGGUGCUCCACCUGGUGAUCAUGAACUUCCUUGGAUGA